ensembl:lncRNA
CGUGGAUUGAACCUGACGUCAUAGUACGGAUGGUGAAGAAGACGCAGCCUUUUGUGUCGUGGACUCAUUGAUUUAGUGAUCUGUUCCACACGCUGUGCUCAUGCCUCCUUUGUGAAGGUGUCUGGUAGGGCAACAAAGUGAACUCCUUCACAUGGGGGCAUAUUCAGCAAACGGCUAGAGCGAUGGACGUGUUAAAGAGCAGCUGCAGUUGAUGUUCAGCUGAUGGGCAUCUCUGAUAUGCAUCCAUACGUGUGACCUGCUGAAGCGUGUCUGUGUGCUGGGUCAUGUGACCGUGGAAGUGUGCAUGGAGCGUGCCAGCUUUGAAUAUGCGUGAGGCAGGCUAAGUGCUACAGGUGUGUGCGUCAAAUGCACAAACCGGCCGGACAACUUGCUGAUUCAGCCCUGCGGUGCUAAAGAUGUCUGUUUGUGUGUGUGCGUGCAAGACACUGAGCCUACUUAGCACGGCUAAGCUGGGCGGGCAGAGAGCGGAGUAGAGGACAGACAGCAAAGCACAAUAAUAAGGUCACAAAGCGCAGCCUCCAUGCUCGGCUCCC